GGGGAUUUAGCUCAGUGGCACUGUGCCUGCCUUGCAAGCAGAAGGACCUGGUCUAAUCUCCAGUAUCCCCC
rnacentral:tRNA from 1 species